GAUGAACGCUGGCGGCGUGCCUAACACAUGCCAGUCGAGCGAACAGACGAGGAGCUUGCUCCUCUGACGUUAGCGGCGGACGGGUGAGUAACACGUGGAUAACCUACCUAUAAGACUGGGAUAACUUCGGGAAACCGGAGCUAAUACCGGAUAAUAUAUUGAACCGCAUGGUUCAAUAGUGAAAGACGGUUUUGCUGUCACUUAUAGAUGGAUCCGCGCCGCAUUAGCUAGUUGGUAAGGUAACGGCUUACCAAGGCAACGAUGCGUAGCCGACCUGAGAGGGUGAUCGGCCACACUGGAACUGAGACACGGUCCAGACUCCUACGGGAGGCAGCAGUAGGGAAUCUUCCGCAAUGGGCGAAAGCCUGACGGAGCAACGCCGCGUGAGUGAUGAAGGUCUUCGGAUCGUAAAACUCUGUUAUUAGGGAAGAACAAAUGUGUAAGUAACUAUGCACGUCUUGACGGUACCUAAUCAGAAAGCCACGGCUAACUACGUG
rnacentral:rRNA from 1 species